AUACGGAGGAUGCAAGCGUUAUCCGGAUUUAUUGGGUUUAAAGGGUGCGUAGGCGGGACUGUAAGUCAGGGGUGAAAUACUGCAGCUUAACUGUAGCAUUGCCUUUGAAACUGCCGUUCUUGAGUGCAGUUGAGGUAGGCGGAAUGUGGUGUGUAGCGGUGAAAUGCAUAGAUAUACCACAGAACGCCGAUUGCGAAGGCAGCUUACUAAGCUGUUACUGACGCUGAGGCACGAAAGCGUGGGGAUCAAACAGGAUUAGAUACCCUGGUAGUCCACGCUGUAAACGAUGAUUACUGGUUGUUAGCGAUAUAUAGCUAGUGACUGAGCGAAAGCAUUAAGUAAUCCACCUGGGGAGUACGUCGGCAACGAUGAAACUCAAAUGAAUUGACGGGG
rnacentral:rRNA from 1 species